UGCGUGCAACUUCCUCCAAAACUGCUCCAAAAACAAGCACACGCCCCUUCACGCAUAGCACUUCAAACAAUGCUACCCAUUCUAAGACAGACCAUUGUCAAUCUGAAGUCCAGCUCCCGAGGCUUGUGGAGGACGUGCAGGUCCAUUCCAGAGCUCCAAUUACCAUGAGAAUGGAUGGGAGCCCACCAUCGUUACACACAAGCAUGCACACACCAGGGAGGACGGUAAAACCUGGAGCUGGACUGCUUGCUACUCAGGUGUCCUGCUUUAACCAAAUUACGACCUAAAUCCAUGCUGCAUACAGUGUGCAUCGGCGUUAUCCUCAAAAACUAAAUGUUUGCUGCAGAAUGGCUUUUUCAGACUUUUGACCCUUAUUUUGUGUUUGUGGGCGUGUCAGCAUUUUGGAUAAAGAUGGCCACCGCCCCUUCCUGGGAUACCACCAGCACCAGCCAACAGUCUGUCUCCAGGCUUGGUGCUGGGAAUGGUGACCUCUUCCACAAAGGUGCUGGGGAACUGACCUGAAGGAACAGAUGUGAACAACAUCGGAGUCGCCACAGCAGAUCAUGUGCCUCCAAAUGUCCAAACCACCUCAGCCUUGCCUCUCCAACUUUGUCUCCAAACCAAUCAACCUGAGCUGUCCCUACCUGUCCAUCCCGCUCGCCCCAAUGAAAAAUCUCCGCAUCAUCAGCUCAGCCUCCGGUCUUUUUGUCAGUGCCAUCGUCUCCAAACCAUCACACCAGGUCUCACUACCAAACCUUCCCUUUCACUCUUGCUGCUAUCCUUCUGGCACCCCAUGAACGCCCCAUCUCCACCCACUCCAACCUCCUUCACCUCUCGUGUGUACAUUUCAUUGCUCUGGAUGGCUAACGCCACAUAUUUAAACUCAUCUAUCUUCACUACCUCUAUUCCCUGCAGCUUCGCUGUUACACCCAUCUCACUUUAUUUUUGGACAUUUUGCACACGUGUACAAAAUAUCAAUAAAUACCAUUUUCAGGAUCAGCUGAACAAGCUAUUGUUGACUUCCCCUGCGUGAAUAUGGGUGUUUGACUGUUAGGUUUCUCUCACACAUGAACACAGAUCACUUCAGAUCCAGGUUUACUUCUGGAACUCGACUUGGUUAAGGUGAGGAGGUUUCCUGGUCAGAAGCUGCAGGAUAAAGGGAACCCGCUAGCUGUGCAUUCACCUGCAAUAUUCUUACACUGAUGUAUUGUGCUGCAAAUCAGUCACAGAAUUUGUGUUGUGCUCUUGUAGGUU